UUUCCGUAGGUGAACCUGCGGAAGGAUCAUUAUUGAAUGAAACACUUCUGGCUUUAUGCUGUUGUGCUGGCCCUUUGGGCAAUGUCCACACGGCUCUGGUCACUUGUUUCUUCUGUUCCACCUGUGCACUGCCUGUAGACACGCUGUGUCUAUGAUAUUUGUUAACACACAACAAUGUUAGUUGGCAUGUUAUAUAUAAUAAUAAAAUAUACAACUUUCAACAACGGAUCUCUUGGCUCUC
rnacentral:misc_RNA from 1 species